rnacentral:rRNA from 1 species
UACAGAGGGUGCGAGCGUUGUUCGGAAUUAUUGGGCGUAAAGGGCGCGUAGGCGGUGCGGUAAGUCACCUGUGAAAUCUCCCGGCUCAACUGGGAGCUUGCAGGCGAAACUGCCGUGCUGGAGUGUGGGAGAGGUGCGUGGAAUUCCUGGUGUAGCGGUGAAAUGCGUAGAUAUCGUAAGGAAGACCAGUGGCGAAGGCGGGUCUCUGGACAGUUCUGACGCUGAGGCACGAAGGUCAGGGGAGCAAACGGG